rnacentral:rRNA from 1 species
GGUCCGGUUGAGUGGUCGGCCGCAAGGUCUGCACUGCUCCGGCCGGACCUUUCCUUCUGGAGAAUGAGCAUGCCAUUUAUUUGGUGUGCUCAGGAUCCAGGACUUUUACUUUGAAAAAAUUAGAGUGUUUAAAGCAGGCUCGCGCUUGAAUACAUUAGCAUGGAAUAAUGAAAUAGGACG